rnacentral:lncRNA from 1 species
UGAAAGCAGCACAAACAUAAAAAUUAGAUAUAAGUUUCGCUGGUUGACAAUUAAGAGUUAAAAAAAUUUAAUAAAACUUUGCUAAUGCUAUUUCGGGUGCUACAGCACAUCAAAUCACACUGUGAAGCAAAUUCAAAUAUUAAGAAAAUUGAAAACAAAUAUGAAAUUCAUAAGUUUAGCAAUUGAAGACAUGUUACAACUCUGGUUAAAAAAAACAACUGUAUUGUAAUUAACAGCUAUUUUGCUAAUUCUGAUAACGUACUAUAUUAAUAACUUCACAACAGUAAUCUUCUUCUACAUAGUAAAUUCUAUAUCGAUAUAAAAAUCAUACCUUUCUUAUGGAGUAAAAUUUCGAGAGAAGAUGCUAUAGAACAAUUCCAGAAAUAAAAUAUACGUAAUAUGGUUGUGUUUAUCAGAUUCUGUCACUUGUUGUUGGUCUAGCGUAUCCCUUUUCAAAUGAUUUUAUAAUAUCAUGGGAUGAUAAUAAUGUGUAAGAUUGUGGAUGGAGAAGUUAAGGAGAUGGUUGGAAAGUGUAUAUGGUUGUGCAGGAGUGGCAGAAGGUGGGGGUUAAUGGGAGAGGUUUGCG